AGUAGGGUUCCCAAUUGUCCGUAGCCUCUCCAGGAUUUACUGUCUGUGAACUUCUGAAUGAUGGCUAUUCGGACUGGUGAGAGCAUUCCUAGGAGAGAAUUCAGCAGUGCAGCAUCCUCUCCGAGCUCUAUGAGAUGAUCGGCUUCCACCGCAAGUCCGCCUUCUUCAAGCGGGUGGCCCCCGUGCAGCGCGCGGCCCCCGGCAUUACGGAGCCUGGCGGGAAGGCCUGCUACCGACUCCUUCUGCAGACGCUUCCUGGCUACAGUCUGUCGCUGGAUCUGCAGGACUUCAGCAAAGGUGUUGGAACUAAAACAUUGCUUCAGUCCCAUUAACCAUGCCUGGUUUGGGCCCUGCUGUCCUGUCUCAUCAGGGUGAAUUCUGAUUCCUUUAGAAUAGGGCUCAGCAGACUUUUUCUGUCAAGGGCUUGGGAGUAAGUAUUUCAGGGUCUGCAAACCUCCUGAUCUCUGGUGCAGCUGCUCAGCUCUGCUGUUCAGACGCCAGAGCAUCCGGACAUUCCACACACCCACAGAGCUUUAUUAACAGCGGUGUCUGGGGCUGGAUUCAGUGUAUGAACUGCAGUUUGCCCCCACAGCCUCCUCACUAUUGACGCCUGCAACAGAGCAUGCAUUUGCGACAAUGGGUGAACCUGCACUGACACGUCAUCAUCACCCAGAGCCCAGACUUGACACUAGGAUUUACACUUGGUGGUGUGCACUCUGUGGGUUUGGACAGAUGUGCAAUGACAUGUAUCCACCGUCACAGCAUCAUACAGAGUAGUCUGUCUUAGUGACCUUAAAAUGCUCCGUGCUGCACCUCAUUCAUUGCUCCUUCCCCUCUAGCCUCUGACAGCCACUGAUCUUUUAGUCUCUGUGGUUUUCCCUUUCCCAGAACACCAUACAGUUGGAAUCAGACAGUUGCGGAACCUUCCCAGAUUGGCUUCUUUCCCUUAGUAAUAUGCAUUUAAGGUUCCUCCAUGUCUUUCCAUGCCUUGAUAACUCAUUUCAUUUUAGCACCAAAUAAUAGUCCAUUUUCUGGCUGGACCACAGUUAAUCCAUUCACCUACUGAAGAACAGCUUAGUUGCUUCUGAGUUCUGGUGAUUAUGAAUAAAGCUGCUAUUAACAUCUGUAUGCA